rnacentral:rRNA from 1 species
GAUGAACGCUGGCGGCGUGCCUAAUACAUGCAAGUCGAGCGAACGGACGAGAAGCUCGCUCCUUUGAGGUUAGCGGCUGACGGGUGAGUAACACGUGGAUAACCUACCUAUAAGUCUGGGAUAACUUCGUGAAACCGGAGCUAAUACCGGAUCAUAUGUUGUACCGCAGGGUUCAAGAGUGAAAGACGGUCUUGCUGUCACUUAUAGAUGGAUCCGCGCUGCAUUAGCUAGUUGGUAAGGGAACGGCUUACCAAGGCAACGAUGCGUAGCCGACCUGAGAGGGUGAUCGGCCACACUGGAACUGAGACACGGUCCAGACUCCUACGGGAGGCAGCAGUAGGGAAUCUUCCGCAAUGGGCGAAAGCCUGACGCAGCAACGCCGCGUGAGUGAAGAAGGUCUUCGGAUCGUAAAGCUCUGUUAUUAGGGAAGAAAAGAUGUGUAAGUAACUCUGCACGUCUUGACGGUACCUAAACAGAAAGCCACGGCUAACUACGUG